rnacentral:rRNA from 1 species
GACGAACGCUGGCGGCGUGCCUAAUACAUGCAAGUAGAACGCUGAAGGAGGAGCUUGCUUCUCUGGAUGAGUUGCGAACGGGUGAGUAACGCGUAGGUAACCUGCCUGGUAGCGGGGGAUAACUAUUGGAAACGAUAGCUAAUACCGCAUAAGAGUAGAUGUUGCAUGACAUUUGCUUAAAAGGUGCAAUUGCACCACUACCAGAUGGACCUGCGUUGUAUUAGCUAGUUGGUGAGGUAACGGCUCACCAAGGCGACGAUACAUAGCCGACCUGAGAGGGUGAUCGGCCACACUGGGACUGAGACACGGCCCAGACUCCUACGGGAGGCAGCAGUAGGGAAUCUUCGGCAAUGGACGGAAGUCUGACCGAGCAACGCCGCGUGAGUGAAGAAAGGUUUUCGGGAUCGUAAAAGCUUCUGUUGUAAAGAGAAAG